rnacentral:lncRNA from 1 species
GUUGACCAGAAGAGGAGUUCACUUGACCAGUUGCGGUCAUCGAAGUUACACAACUGGAAUUAUAUUCGUCAUAAAGAUAUGUGUAUAUUUGAACUUUCUGGAUAAUAAACAACAACGCCUAGUAUAAACAUGUGUUAAUCUGAAAAGAUAACGAAUCUCUGUUUAUUUUGACAUUGGAUUGAAAGAGAGGCGAAAGAUAUCAAG